rnacentral:rRNA from 1 species
UACGUAGGGUGCAAGCGUUGUCCGGAAUCACUGGGCGUAAAGCGCACGUAGGCGGAUUGCUAAGUCAGGGGUGAAAUCCUGGAGCUCAACUCCAGAACUGCCUUUGAUACUGGCGAUCUUGAGUCCGGGAGAGGUGAGUGGAACUGCGAGUGUAGAGGUGAAAUUCGUAGAUAUUCGCAAGAACACCAGUGGCGAAGGCGGCUCACUGGCCCGGUACUGACGCUGAGGUGCGAAAGCGUGGGGAGCAAACAGG